rnacentral:rRNA from 1 species
CCUACGGGUGGCAGCAGUGAGGAAUAUUGGUCAAUGGGAGAGAUCCUGAACCAGCCAAGCCGCGUGAGGGAAGAAGGCCCUAUGGGUUGUAAACCUCUUUUGUCGGAAAACACAACCCGGGGCGUGUCACGGACUACGUGUAUCCGAAGAAAAAGCAUCGGCGAACUCCGUGCCAGCAGCCGCGGUAAUACGGAGGAUGCGAGCGUUAUCCGGAUUUAUUGGGUUUAAAGGGUGCGUAGGCGGUCAGUUAAGUCAGCGGUAAAAUUGCGGGGCUCAAGCCCGGCGAGCCGUGGAAACUGGCAGACUUGAGUUGGAGAGAAGGACGCGGAAGGCGCGGUGUAGCGGUGAAAUGCAGAGAUAUCGCGCAGAACUCCGAUGGCGAAGGCAGCGUACCGGCGCCAGACUGACGCUGAGGCACGAAAGCGUGGGGAUCGAACAGGAUUAGAUACCCGGGUAGUC